GUGGUGUUGUGUAAGAAUCUCUACUUCUAACCAAUGCUUUAUAUAUCUAUGCCAUGUUGUCUGAUUCCUCACGUUCAAAACCAUAUUCAUCAACAUUCUUUUUAUCUUCUAGUCCAGUCCAUAACUUCUUUACUUUUCUUUCAAAACAUUUUUGUCUAUAUUGCUCAGGGUCUGCAAACGCACAAAUGGCCCAUUCAAAAAAAGACACAGAGGUAUGGUUAAGGGAACCUGAAAGGGAUGGAGAAGCUCCCAGGUGCCAAAACCAUUGGGAAGCUGUCACCACCCCUAGGCAUGAAAGGGCAGAAGGGGUAAACAAAGAUUUGGGAGUCCAGAAGAAGCUAGAUCUAUGGAAGUGGAACCACCACCAGUUCCUAGAGGAAAGCAGCCACUGGCAAACCCUAGUGAGGCAUGGGAUGUGGGAAGGAGGGUGAGAAGACUAAACAUCCCAACCCCUCUCUCCUCGUGGCUUCCGAUUUCCCACCUGUGCUUCUUUACCUCGUGCCUGGAUCGUUGCUGCUGCCUCCUCUAUGAUCUAACUCCGCUCCCCUCCGCUUUAUCCUGCAGUCCUAUCAUCAGACCAGUCUCUCUAAGAUCCCGCAUUCGUUAUGUCAUUUUUCUUCUCAUAACCUUCAAAGGCUUGUCAUUACUCUUCAGUCUGUUGUUGGCCAUUCUCCAAAUCCCGAGUUCAAUCUCUCUUUCAGAUGUUAUCUUCUGCAACUCUCCUAGCCCUUUGCUCUGAUUGGCCUCCUCAUUGCCAUCCCCCUUUCUAUAAACACGCCACUCUCAUCCCUGCAUCAAAUGCUGUGAUUCAUAUCUUUCCGUAUGCCUGAAAUACCCCUGGUCUUCUAUCCAGAUGCUAUACAUCCUUCAAGGCCCAUAUCUUCUGCAAAAACUUCUCUGACCGCUCCUACAUCAGUGGGUCCCUCUAUCUUCCCAGGUUUCUGCUGAAUUGUGGUAACACCUUACCAGUUAGGUCUUAAUUGUUCCUAUAUGUUUCAUAAACACAUGCUUUGUCUCCUCUAACCGAAAGGUGAGGAUCCCCAAACCAAAGGUGUGGUCGAUUGUUCGUUGGUGUGACUCUCAUUUUCUAAGCUAUAGCAGCUUGAAGGGGUACAACUAAAGCAGUGUGGGGGACAGUUAACAUGCCAGCAAAAAGUGAUCUAUGCUCUGAGCCCCUUGCUGUAAAAUCAGGGCCACCCCAGCCUUCAAGUCCCUCGCUCUCCUGGCAGAGUUCCAGGUCCUCUCCUUUGCUGCUGAAGCACUUCAGAUCAAGUGCCAGAGUCAUCUCUGCGGGGCUCCGUCCGUGCUACUGUAGGCUGCAGGUCUUACCGCAAAUUGAGAUUGAUCAGUGUUCUGUGGGCAUCUUUCAACUUUCCUUCUGGGGAUUGUUCAUUUCCAUAUGGUUUGCGUUCUUACUCUUUGUGAUGUAAUCCAUCCUGUUUGCCAAGAGUUGCCUGUUGGAAUGGGAUUAUUUGGUUCACACCUCUAGAGAAUUCCAGUCUACUGACCCCUAGCUAGUGUUUCUGGCUUAAGUUGGUCCAUGUCAACUCUUCCCUCAUGCAGGGCAAUGCCUGGGAGUUAAUCUUCAUUUCUCUUCUUUGCUCAAGAAUCUGAGUGCUGGGGCUGUCUAUGAGCUCUGUUCAGCCAAGAACCCUCUGUGGAACCCUCUGUGACAUGCUUGGGCACACCUGAGUCCCCUAACUAGCAUGAUAACUUGUUCUCACAAGACCCUUCCUUCUAUUUGUCAUUCACUGUGGUGUUUACAUAUUGAUCUUUUCUCUUUCCUUUUCCCAAUAUCAUACUUUUAGACCUUAGAAUCUCCUUUACUCUCCCUAGGAGGCUUAAAACUCAUCCUUUUAAGAGUUAAGUAGAGGCAGGAUGAGUUAAUGAACAUAAAUGGACUUAUUCCAUUGGUCGUUUGUUUGGUUUCUCUGGCCUUAUAUCUAGAAACCUGUCUCACCUUUUUGUCUUUUUCUACCUUGUCUUUUUAAAUGAAUACUCCUUAAGAUGACAGGUUCUCCAAUAGCUUAAUCUGAACUGGAGAAAUUUUAAAAAACGAUCCUAAGAAAGCCUAAAGUAUUUCAGAAGGAGGAAGAAUUUGUGUAGUGAAAUCUAUUAAUAAUGGAUAUCUUGGGGUCUUCUGAAUUAUAUAUGUACAGCUGAAAAAAUAAUUCUUUGUGCUCAUUAAUUUUGGAGCAAAGAAAUGCAACUUUCAUCCUUUUCUAAUCUGCUAUGGUUUGUAAUUAGGUGAUGAAAUGCACUCUUCUCCAAAGUCAGCAUCAGUUAGCUGUCUGGAUGUUUCUAUCUAUCGAGUCAAAGCUAUCUUACUUUUUUAGAGAUGAUCACAGAAAUGGAAAGCGUCACGAGACUGGCUAAAUCAAGACAUAGGGAAUGGAGGAAAAAAAGAACCAUUGAAAGAAACAACUGAGUCCAUACAAGAACGUUCCUUUUGCAGACUUUGACAUCAUGAAGGACAUAUGUCUCUGUUUACCUCAGCUGUUAUAAAAUUGUAUGAUGUGCAAGAGAAGCUAGAACUAGAUGGGAGCAGAGAAGGGGGUCUGGGCCCUUUUGCAAACACCAAGACCUUUUGUUGGAAUGGGAUAGAAAAAACCCACAAGCUUAACUUGGUAGGUCUGAGGGCUUGCUAAUGCAACCAGCUGAAACUUUGUAAACGUUUAGCAUAAAACUCAUUUUUAAUCUCAUAAACUUAAUUUUUUCCCCUAGCAUAUGGGAUGCAUAAAAAGGAAAUAAAACUUUAGUAAAUUGAGCCUUACUUGUGCUUUAUAAAAAAGAAAUUGAAUUGCUCUAAUGGCAGCUGCAGCUGGCUUUCAGCUUCGAACAACCAGUGUAAAUCUCGUUUUUAGUGCUUGAUUUAGUAAACACUCAGCUGCGAACAGGCUUGGAAAACAACUCUGAAUGCAGGGUUUUCCAUAAAGGCAGUUAUGUAACCUCUGUGUGUUAUGCCUUUAAAAUCUGUGAAGAAUAGCAGAAACCCUGAUUGAGAUAUCUUACAAUUAUCCUUUACUCUGGAUUUAAAUCUGCAGAGAGUUUGCUACUCAUUAUGCACAGAGCGAGCACAAAUGGAUUCUAAUAGGCCAUACAUUUAGAUGUAUGUGUGAUACUCGUUAAAGAUAUUAAAAAAGUAGAGUACUAAUAACCAGUUGAGAAGCCAGAGUUGAGUUGGGCGUGUCAUCUGGUCAUCUCCAAGUGACAAUCACAGCUUGUUUUUUAUUCUGCCCUUCUCUGAGCCGUGUCGGGCUCCUAUACAUUGAAGAGCCGUGAGAAUUCCUGGUUUGUAUUCUCUUUAGCAAAGGUUGCACGUGCCCAGCUUGCCAUUUUUGCUAAAAAUAGGGAGAAAAUCUUCUUCCUAAUGAACAAGAUGAAACAUCCAAGUGCUUUUAAAUUGACACACAAAUCACUUACGAUUCUAAAGCCAGUUUAUCCUAAAUAUUUCUAGUGACCUGGACUUAGUGGGGAUUUCCGUGUUUUGGUUGUUGGUUUUCCCAUCUCUCUAUAGACUCACUGGUAGACAAAAUGAGAGUUGGCACCUUGUGGCAUUCCUGCUAAGGGAAUCAUUUAAAAUAAUUCUGGCUAGGAUGGCCAAGGUUAACCCUGGGCACAAUUUGGAAUUAGGAUAAAUUGAUGCCUCUUUUCUUCCUCCCUGAAACAUCUUCCAAUCCCUCAGGCCUAUUUUUAGCUGGCUGCCAACCAGCCCUGCAUGAGCAAAUGUGUGAAGGUACGCUAUUUCUCAGGGGCAUUUUCAAUUUUAAAAGAGACUCUCAAAUGUGGAAAAGUCGUCAGACCCCAAAUCUGUGCUGUUUACAUGACGGGUCCUGGGGUUGAUCGUCUGGGCAGAGGGCAAUUUGUUCCAAGGCUGCCUCUGGGCGCAGUGGCUGGACUACAGAGAAGUAAAUUCACACACAGCCUCCUUUUUCCCGCCAACUGGUUGUUUGGCUGCCAGCAAUUGGAGCUAUUAAACACAUGGAGACUUGAUGAGAAAUUCGAAAAGACUAAUGCACAGUGUGGUAGGUGGAGAGAGUCACCAGUGGGCGGUUCUACUCGUGGCUCUGCGGUACCAGCUUCGUGACCUCAGGGAAGUCACUUAAACUCUCUGAGCUACUGUCUCGCCCCACCUUUCAGGCCUGUUGCAGGAUCAAAUACAAACAUGAGAAAGUACUUUGAAAACUGUCCCAUUGGGUUUCAGAGGACAAAUGUGGGCAAGUAGCAGAUCCUGUUAUGCCUGUGGAUGGAAUUCUGGAUCCUGGAGAAGAAUCGAUGGCUGACUAAACAGUUAAAAAGGAUGACAGCACUACAGAAGUCAGAGUGAAGAUAUUCAGACUUUUCAGACCUUGACCUGAGGUAAUCUUUCAAGCCAGGUGCUAGUUACAGGCUUCCAUGCAGUAACCACCACUACACUGCUGACUGUGACUGCGACUGCUGAUAAGCUGAGUAAGGCUGAAGGUCAACAAUCUGGAGACUGCUCUUAAUUAUUAAAGGAUCAACACGUCUUAAUGCAUUCGUCCUCUGAACUGGAGCCAAACAACUGGGUCUCAGGGACAGAAGUUUUCCCUUUCUUUUUAAAUUAGCACAAACAAACAAACAGACCAGUUG
ensembl:lncRNA